rnacentral:rRNA from 1 species
GACGAACGCUGGCGGCGUGCCUAAUACAUGCAAGUCGAACGAGUGGCGGACGGGUGAGUAAUGUCUGGGAAACUGCCCGAUGGAGGGGGAUAACUACUGGAAACGGUAGCUAAUACCGCAUACCAUCGGAUGUGCCCAGAUGGGAUUAGCUAGUAGGUGGGGUAACGGCUCACCUAGGCGACGAGCCCUAGCUGGUCUGGGAGGAUGACCUGCCACACUGGAACUGAGACACGGUCCAGACUCCUACGGGAUGCAGCAGUGGGGAAUAUUGCCCAAUGGGCGCAAGCCUGAUGCAGCAAUGCCGCGUGUAUGAAGAAGGCCUUCGGGUUGUAAAGUACUUUCAGCGAGGAGGCGUUACUCGCAGAAGAAGCAUCGGCUAACUCCGUGCCAGCCGCCGCGGUAAUUC